GUCGUUUCUAGCUGGGCUACUGCCUUUUUCAGAGGGCUAGCACUGAUUUAUACAUAGGGGACCACAUUGAAGAUCCUUGGGACAAAGUUGGAGAAGUUGCUUAAUCUCUUAACAUUUUGUCUAAUAUGUUAACCUGACUCUUGUAUUUUAUUAGCUAUUUCAAGUAUAUUUGAAAUUGUUUUCUUUUAGAUGGAUAAGAAAUCAGGAGAAUCAUUGUAAUACUAUCUCAAAAACAUAAUUCUGUCCAUACUAAUUUUCUCUGUAGUGUUUAGAUGAGUUCUCACUUUUGAGGCUUGAGCAUGAUUGACAGUCAUUCUAAUGUAAUUGAAGGAUCUCUAAAAUUACCUACAUUGAUGAUGAAGUUUAUUUGGAGAAUGUAAGAUAUGCACAAAAUAGCGGUUGUGAUAGGAAUCUGAGAAGGAAUAAGUGAAG
rnacentral:misc_RNA from 1 species